rnacentral:rRNA from 1 species
CCCUUAGAUGUUCUGGGCUGCACGCGCGCUACACUGAUGCACUCAACGAGUUUACGACCUUGCCCGAUAGGGUUGGGUAAUCUUUUUAAAAUGCAUCGUGAUGGGGAUAGAUUAUUGCAAUUAUUAAUCUUCAACGAGGAAUUCCUAGUAAGCGCGAGUCAUCAGCUCGUGCUGAUUACGUCCCUGCCCUUUGUACACACCGCCCGUCGCUCCUACCGAUUGAGUGCUCAGGUGAGUAAUUCGGACUGCAGCAAUGUUUGGAUCCCGAACGUUGCAGCGGAAAGUUUAGUGAACCUUAUCACUUAGAGGAAGGAGAAGUCGUAACA